UGGGGAAUAUUGCACAAUGGGCGAAAGCCUGAUGCAGCAACGCCGCGUGAGUGAUGAAGGCCUUCGGGUUGUAAAGCUCUGUCUUUUGGGACGAUAAUGACGGUACCAAAGGAGGAAGCCACGGCUAACUACGUGCCAGCAGCCGCGGUAAUACGUAGGUGGCAAGCGUUGUCCGGAUUUACUGGGCGUAAAGGAUGCGUAGGCGGAUACUUAAGUCAGAUGUGAAAAUCCCGGGCUUAACUUGGGAACUGCAUUUGAAACUGGGUAUCUAGAGUGCGGGAGAGGAAAGUGGAAUUCCUAGUGUAGCGGUGAAAUGCGUAGAGAUUAGGAAGAACACCGGUGGCGAAGGCGACUUUCUGGACCGUAACUGACGCUGAGGCAUGAAAGCGUGGGGAGCAAACA
rnacentral:rRNA from 1 species